rnacentral:rRNA from 1 species
AUACGGAGGAUGCGAGCGUUAUCCGGAUUCAUUGGGUUUAAAGGGUGCGUAGGCGGAAUAAUAAGUCAGGGGUGAAAGUUUGCGGCUCAACCGUAAAAUUGCCUUUGAUACUGUUAUUCUUGAGUACACGCGAGGUAUGCGGAAUGUGAUGUGUAGCGGUGAAAUGCUUAGAUAUAUCACAGAACACCGAUUGCGAAGGCAGCAUACUAGAGUGUCACUGACGCUGAUGCACGAAAGCGUGGGUAUCGAACAGAAUUAGAAACCCUAGUAGUCC